UACGUAGGGUGCGAGCGUUGUCCGGAAUUACUGGGCGUAAAGAGCUCGUAGGUGGUUUGUCGCGUUGUUCGUGAAAACUCACAGCUUAACUGUGGGCGUGCGGGCGAUACGGGCAGACUGGAGUACUGCAGGGGAGACUGGAAUUCCUGGUGUAGCGGUGGAAUGCGCAGAUAUCAGGAGGAACACCGGUGGCGAAAGCGACUCUCUGGCCUGUAACUGACGCUGAGGCGCGAAAGCUAGGGGAGCAAACGGG
rnacentral:rRNA from 1 species